rnacentral:rRNA from 1 species
CCUACGGGAGGCAGCAGUGGGGAAUUUUGGACAAUGGGCGCAAGCCUGAUCCAGCCAUGCCGCGUGAGUGAAGAAGGCCUUCGGGUUGUAAAGCUCUUUCGGCAGGAACGAAAUGGUUCGUGCUAAUACCACGGACUGAUGACGGUACCUGAAGAAGAAGCACCGGCUAACUACGUGCCAGCAGCCGCGGUAAUACGUAGGGUGCAGGCGUUAAUCGGAAUUACUGGGCGUAAAGCGUGCGCAGGCGGUUUCUUAAGUCAGAUGUGAAAGCCCCGGGCUUAACCUGGGAACUGCGUUUGAAACUGGGAGACUUGAGUGUGGCAGAGGGGGGUGGAAUUCCACGUGUAGCAGUGAAAUGCGUAGAUAUGUGGAGGAACACCGAUGGCGAAGGCAGCCCCCUGGGCUAACACUGACGCUCAUGCACGAAAGCGUGGGGAGCAAACAGGAUUAGAUACCCUGGUAGUCCACGCCCUAAACUAUGUCAACUGGUUGUCGGGAGAUUAACUCUCUUGGUAACGAAGCUAACGCGUGAAGUUGACCGCCUGGGGAGUACGGCCGCAAAGGUUAAAACNCAAAGGAAUUGACGG